rnacentral:lncRNA from 1 species
CUUCAUAUGCUCGAGAGAAGGCUUGUACUGAUUCAGUACCUCAAAUGGUGAUUGUCCUUGAAGGAUCAGAGUUGGUGUCCUGUUGAUGAGAUAACAUGCUGUAGCAACAGCAUCACUCCAAAACUUCUUAGGCACAUUGGAUUGAAACAUCAUGUGUUGACUUGAAGAAAGAAAUGGAGCCAUAAGAGAAGUAUGGAGGAGUUUGGGUCUGGUGCAAAGAUAGGGACAAGAUCUUAAGAGAUUGUCUAUCAAGGCUUCAUGAGAGUUUAGAGAAGUCUAGAAGUAUCAUGAAGGCUGUGCAAAGAUAGGGUUUAAGUCCAGGAGGGACUUAGACACCAUUUGGAGAUAGUUGGGUGAUGGUGCAAAGAUAGGGCGUCCCAAGGUUCAGACGGUACGGAUGAACCGUGCAAACUUAGGGCGACCCAGAACCUGAUCACACUCAACCAUUGGAGAUGUUUUGGUGAGAUGUGCAAACUUAGGGCGAGGUACGGACAGGCGGUCCGUACCUUCGUCCGUACUUGUUCCGGAUCAAGCUGAAAUGAAGCUGUGCAAACUUAGGGCGCAAGAGAAGACAAACCUGAGUUAUCUUGUGGCUAUUUGUGGAUAAGGGACAGCUAGGGCGUGGUCAAUGACAGGCUGUCUUUGAGCUGUAAAGGAAAAGCAGCAUUGACCAUGUAUCUAGCCAUCUUUGUGAAAAAGGUUCAUGGGAGCUUUAAGGGAACCAAUCAGGAGCCAGCCCUUGCCUUGACCAGUUUGAAUCAACCAAUCACCAGCCAGCAUUCUCUACUCCAAUCAGAUCAAUUCACUCAGAUUGCAAACAAGAAAACUCCAUCCUAGCCAUCCAUUCAUCUCAAGUCAUUUCUAUCCAUUAGAUUAAGGGUUUAUGAUUUUACAAAGUGUAAAGCCUAUAUAAAGGCUAUCAUGGACGUUUUGUAACUCUCUUAAGAGAGAGAGGGGGAUUUCCCCUCCUCCUUCAUAAUACAAAGUGUGUUCUUGGAUAAGAAUCCCUCAAACUACCCCUUUCUUAUACUUAAAUCUCUUAAUCUCUCUAAAUCUCUUGUUUCUGUCCAAGUUCAUACUGUUCUUCAUCAGACCUUUCUCUCUUCAGUUCAAGCUCUCAUUUCGCCCUUAGUGGCUUGUUCUCACACACUCAGCCUGAGCUCUGAAAACCUAACAUGGUAUCAGAGCCAGGUUCAUCAGAACUUGGUUCCAGCUUCCGCAUAUACAUCACAAGUCUAGCCUCAUCACAGAUCCAAACCAUUGAAGAUGUCCAGCCUGUUCUCUCUCUUCAAGAAGAAGGUGUUUGAAGCUAUGGUGGUGUCUCCUGGUCGUUCCUCCUCUCUCCAGUCCAUUAAAGGCGUGUCUCAACUCUGUCCCAAGCUGAAACCCUUCAAGAAGAAAGCUCUCAUCUUGUUCCUGAAGUUGGAGACUUGGAGCUGUGAAGAAAGGUGGAACCUUUUGUGUUGUGGUUUUAAGAAGGAGGUUAUGAACACAAAGAGAAGGUGUUGGGUGACGAUCCAGCUCUCUUAUCCACCAGAUUCGUGGCCUAUUACCAAGGUGGCUCAAGGAACCAGCUCAGGUUCCUUGGUUGUAAGCUAAUCCUAAACCUUCUUGAUAUGAGCUUGUGAUUGAAACAGGUUGUUGUGUUGUGAUGUGAUUAAAUGAACCUGAGGAUAUGUUUAAGAUUGCUAAAUGAAAUGAAAUGAUUUAGAAUCUGUCCCAGGAUGCUAUUGAGUGUUGUUUGAUGUUGAGAAAUGAAAUGCUUAGCCUGAUUUGGUUAUGAUUGUUCUAGGAUGUUAGAAACUGUCUAAAUCCUAUUAGCUUUCAUUAAACUGAAAUCACUUAAGGUUUUGCAUUGUCUGAUGUUGAUUGAUGAUUAAUAUUGCUUUGCCUCAGUUAUAAGUGAAGUGUGUUAGGAUAAUAGAAAGCAUUGGCUGAUCCUGCUGCAUACAUGAGCUAGAAACUGAUUAAGGUCACAGCAUAUUGUCAUCUUGUUGCUGCCUUAACAUUGAGCACAUAGAUGGAUGUCUAUGAUUGCGGAUUAAGGCAGGGUUGAUUGCCUAAGUAGCUUGUCUUGAAUCUGAUUUGAUCUUGCUUGUACCUAGAGAGAUUGCUUGCAAAGAUGUGAACUUGAUAAUUCUUGUUUCAAUCUGUUGCAUAGCUUGUGACAUUGGAGAUCAAACUUGAUGAUUAGUCAAGGAUUGAUCCCAAUGCUUAUGUCUUAUCUUUGCUGGAGUUUGAGUGGUGUUUCAGGUUCACAAGAUGUGCUCUCUGUCCAUCACCAAUCCGAGCAGAAGAGGAAGAAGACUUUACCCAUUGGGAAUGGUCGCUGUGGUGUAUGUGUGGAUACACAAGGCGAGUGGUCAUCACCUAAGUCUGGAGGAGACCGGUGACCAGAAGGCAUUGGAGAUAAAGGGAAGGGUUGAUCAGUGGUUGAAGCGCACUCUAUGAGAUGUUGCGCUCCUGAUCUUAAGGCUCAUUGAGGCUCACUUCAAGCUUGGACCCAUACUCAAUCCAAGCUUGAGGAGGGGAGCAAAGUGAGCCACCUGAUGAUCCUGUUCUCAAUGACCUGUGUUACUCAAGGUCAUUGCAAGCUGAUCAUGGAGUGAUUCAGCCGAAGUAGAGGGAAGAAGAAGGUCACUCAACAAGGCGUGUGAGGUGCUUGGAGAGUGGGCUGAUGUAUCUCCUCAGUGCAAUGAUGAUGUAGUGGAGGUUCAAGCAUCAAGUCCGAAGGAGAUGGAGGUGCUUUCCACAAGGCGUAUCAUGCGCUCACCAUCAAGCUUGGACCUUCCCUAUACUUGGUCUCAAGCUUGAGGGGGAGUGUGGAUGAGCUUGCAUGAUCAGAGAAGGAGCUGUUAAGCUCAGCAAGUGAGGGACUCAAGUGCCAUGUGAAGAGCAGCCAGUCCUCACCAUUUAUACAAGGGAGUAAACCUGAUCUCUAUCUCUUUAUAUACAUUCAUGAUAGGUUUAUCUCUUGAGAACUGAUACACUUGUUGAAUGAUGUAUCAGGUACCUUACUUGGAUUCUCAAUGAAGAGGGCGUGAUCUUACCUGAUGGAGAUGGCGAGAAGCCAUGAGAGAAGGGAAGACACAAACGGAGUUUAAGAAGAAGUCCAAGAAGAGUGGUGGAGUGAAGAGGCCGUGAUCCAGAGCCUAUGUGCCUAAACCUCAGUGAUACUAAGGCACAUAGGCUCACUGGCCAAUCCCUAGGCCUUGGAGGCUCUACUCUUUUUCCCUCAUCAAGGUUUUGUCCCAAAGGGUUUUCCUUGGUGAGGUUUUUAAUGAGGGAGUUCUUCAAGGUUCCAAGCUUGACUUAGGAUCACCUAGAGUCAAGCUUGAGGGGGAGUGUUGACUUGAAGAAAGAAAUGGAGCCAUAAGAGAAGUAUGGAGGAGUUUGGGUCUGGUGCAAAGAUAGGGACAAGAUCUUAAGAGAUUGUCUAUCAAGGCUUCAUGAGAGUUUAGAGAAGUCUAGAAGUAUCAUGAAGGCUGUGCAAAGAUAGGGUUUAAGUCCAGGAGGGACUUAGACACCAUUUGGAGAUAGUUGGGUGAUGGUGCAAAGAUAGGGCGUCCCGAGGUUCAGACGGUACGGAUGAACCGUGCAAACUUAGGGCGACCCAGAACCUGAUCACACUCAACCAUUGGAGAUGUUUUGGUGAGAUGUGCAAACUUAGGGCGAGGUACGGACAGGCGGUCCGUACCUUCGUCCGUACUUGUUCCGGAUCAAGCUGAAAUGAAGCUGUGCAAACUUAGGGCGCAAGAGAAGACAAACCUGAGUUAUCUUGUGGCUAUUUGUGGAUAAGGGACAGCUAGGGCGUGGUCAAUGACAGGCUGUCUUUGAGCUGUAAAGGAAAAGCAGCAUUGACCAUGUAUCUAGCCAUCUUUGUGAAAAAGGUUCAUGGGAGCUUUAAGGGAACCAAUCAGGAGCCAGCCCUUGCCUUGACCAGUUUGAAUCAACCAAUCACCAGCCAGCAUUCUCUACUCCAAUCAGAUCAAUUCACUCAGAUUGCAAACAAGAAAACUCCAUCCUAGCCAUCCAUUCAUCUCAAGUCAUUUCUAUCCAUUAGAUUAAGGGUUUAUGAUUUUACAAAGUGUAAAGCCUAUAUAAAGGCUAUCAUGGACGUUUUGUAACUCUCUUAAGAGAGAGAGGGGGAUUUCCCCUCCUCCUUCAUAAUACAAAGUGUGUUCUUGGAUAAGAAUCCCUCAAACUACCCCUUUCUUAUACUUAAAUCUCUUAAUCUCUCUAAAUCUCUUGUUUCUGUCCAAGUUCAUACUGUUCUUCAUCAGACCUUUCUCUCUUCAGUUCAAGCUCUCAUUUCGCCCUUAGUGGCUUGUUCUCACACACUCAGCCUGAGCUCUGAAAAC